rnacentral:rRNA from 1 species
AACAAACGCUGGCGGCGUGCCUAAUACAUGCAAGUCGAACGGGGAAAGCUUUCGGGUGAGUACUAGUGGCGCACGGGUGAGGAACGCGUGGAUAAUCUGCCUUAGAGUGGGGGAUAACUAGUCGAAAGAUUAGCUAAUACCGCAUAAGACCACAGGAGCUGCGGCUCUAGGGGUCAAAGGUUUUUCGCUCUAAGAUGAGUCCGCGUAAGAUUAGCUAGUUGGUGAGGUAACGGCUCAACAAGGCGACGAUCUUUAACUGGUCUGAGAGGAUGAUCAGUCACACUGGAACGGAGACACGGGCCGGACUCCUACGGGAGGCAGCAGUAGGGAAUAUUGCACAAUGGAGGAAACUCUGAUGCAGCGACGCCGCGUGAGUGAUGAAGGCCUUCGGGUCGUAAAGCUCUGUCGCAGGGGAAUAACACAAUGAAUGUACCCUGUAAGAAAGGAUCGGCUAACUUCGUGCCAGCAGCCGCAGUAACAC